AAGUGGCGCGGCUCUCUAAUUCCGCACCGAGCCUGGCCCCAAAGGACACCGGACACGUUCAAAGGAUCCAAAGUAGAAACGCAGACCCCCUUCGGAGAGGAGGAAGAGACAAGACUCUCCCAGGACGAGACCAGGCGUCUGCAGGCGCCGCUCCUCCAGGGACACAGCCUCCUCCCAUCCUGCGGCCUAUCAGCGGUCCUGCCCCCGGCCCAACGGUGCGCAUGCGCAAUUCCCUCCGGACGCGGAAGCGGAUCCCGAGGAAAGGCUGACGCGCUCGGAAUAAUCUUACCUGAAGAAUCUAAGAAGAAAAAGAGGAGGAAAGAAAGAGGAAUGGAGCUUUCCCAGAUUGACCUUCACUGUGACCCAGUGACCUGGAACUUGGGAAGAGGGUCCUUUUAGGCGAUCCUCCUGUGAAAGGUUUUGUUCUCAGGCGUGGAUUGGAGGGACUGUUUACAUUCAAGGAUGUGGCCGUAGAAUUCACUCAGGAAGAGUGGGAAUGCCUGGAUCCUAUUCAGAGGGCCUUGUACAGGGACGUGAUGCUGGAGACCUACAGGAACCUGCUCUCCCUGGGUGCCCUCUUCUCUAACCUCUACUCCAUGCCAGAAAAAGGAAAGGAAGGGGUGACCUGCAACUGAGUGAAUCAAGUCACUGCCCCUCACUGAAAACAAACUGCAAAUGGAAGUUAUCUUCUCAAAUAAUUACAAGAUGCACAAGACCUAUAGACAGGGUCGCUUUCACCUUCUGAGACUGCAUUCUGCCUAUGGAACUUGGAUUAUCACAGGGCCUCUCUCUGAGAUGAUCUACUUUACAGCUGUGGAAUGUGUGCGGGCACGCGCAUCGGCUCAGUACUGUCCGACUCUUUUGCAACCCCCAUGGACUUGUAGGCCGCCAGGCUCUUUUGUCCACGGGAGUAUCUGGCAAGAAUACUGGAGUGGGUUGCCAUGCCCUCCUCCAGGGGAUCUUUCCGACCCAGGGAUUGAAUCCACGUCUCCUAAGGAUUCUGCAUUGGCAGGCGAUUCUUUACCACUGGUGCCUCCUGGGAGGCCCUGUGGAAUGUGCAUCUCAAUAAAUC